rnacentral:rRNA from 1 species
AUUGAACGCUGGCGGCAUGCCUUACACAUGCAAGUCGAACGGCAGCACGGGUGCUUGCACCUGGUGGCGAGUGGCGAACGGGUGAGUAAUACAUCGGAACGUACCUUAUCGUGGGGGAUAACGCAGCGAAAGCUGUGCUAAUACCGCAUACGCCCUGAGGGGGAAAGCGGGGGAUCGCAAGACCUCGCGCGAUUAGAGCGGCCGAUGCCUGAUUAGCUUGUUGGUGGGGUAAAAGCCCACCAAGGCGACGAUCAGUAGCUGGUCUGAGAGGACGAUCAGCCACACUGGGACUGAGACACGGCCCAGACUCCUACGGGAGGCAGCAGUGGGGAAUUUUGGACAAUGGGGGCAACCCUGAUCCAGCAAUGCCGCGUGAGUGAAGAAGGCCUUCGGGUUGUAAAGCUCUUUUGUCAGGGAAGAAACACCGGCUCUAACACAGUCCGGGAAUGACGGUACCUGAAGAAUAAGCACCGGCUAACUACGUG